CCACCAUCUUCCCUCUCCUCUCAUCCGCCUCCUCCAUCUCCAGUCUCCUCUCUGUGUCCUGCACUCUCUUCCAAAAAAAAAAAAAAAACUCACAGGUUAUAUUUCCUCUGUACUACUUCUACAUGAAUAUAGUGAAAUUAUUUUGUAAUUGUUAGGCUGCUACUUCAGAACACUUAUUUAUGUUUUAUUACUGUCUUUUUUUCUAGAAUGCAGAAAACAUAAAUACCAGAAGGUGUUCCUGUACGAGAGGGUUCUUGAGAAACGAGUGCUAAACGGAAAGGCAGAAGUAAAGAUUAGGUGGACACCAUGCCCGAAAUGUGGUAAGGUGUGGGCUGACACGUGGGAGCCAGCACAGCAGUAUGGCAGUCCUACAUAGGCCUUGGUGUGUGUUGUCCUCUGAAAAA